rnacentral:rRNA from 1 species
AGUGAACGCUGGCGGCAGGCCUAACACAUGCAAGUCGAGCGGCAGCGCGGGGGCAACCCUGGCGGCGAGCGGCGGACGGGUGAGGAAUUCGUCGGAAUCUGCCUUUUUGUGGGGGAUAACGUAGGGAAACUUACGCUAAUACCGCAUACGUCCUACGGGAGAAAGUGGGGGACCGCAAGGCCUCACGCAGAAAGAUGAGCCGACGACCGAUUAGCUAGUUUGUGGGGUAAAGGCCCACCAAGGCGACGAUCGGUAGCUGGUCUGAGAGGAUGAUCAGCGACACUAGGACUGAGACACGGCCCAGACUCCUACGGGAGGCAGCAGUGGGGAAUAGUGGACAAUGGGCGCAGGCCUGAUCCAGCCAUGCCGCGUGUGUGAAGAAGGCCUUCGGGUUGUAAAGCACUUUUGUCCGGAAAGAAAUCCCUGGAGCUAAUACCUUCGGGGGAUGACGGUACCGGAAGAAUAAGCACCGGCUAACUUCGUG